AAGUUAGUUGAUUUAAAGUCCUUAAUAUAACACCCAAUAUGAAAUAUUAAGGCUAUGACCCAACACAAUAUUUUAUAACUUGGAAGAGGGAUGUCGUAAUCCAAGCUAUAAAAUAUUUGAAGGUAGGCGAAUGACGAUUCACCAAUUUCCACCAUGAAAAACGAAAUAGGUAUUAGGUUUUAAUUGGUUUGAAACUCCUAGAUCUUUUGAGAUUCAUUGAACUAUUAAAUGACAUGUUUAAAUCUCGAUUGUGCCCUCUCAAGUUUGUGACUGGGAUGCCGAAGAUCACAAACAAGAUGUGAAUAACCAUGCAAAUUGACUUGGUGCCCUUAAUUUUUAUCACCUAAUCGAUGUGUCGGUUACCCACAUGCGCUCCACCGAUCUAUGAUAAACAUUAAGUCACCAUUUGCCACUCUUACUAGUCCACGUUAGUGUGUCGGGUACCCACACAUGCUCCACCAACGACUUGGUAAGGUACACAGUGUAAUUUCAUGGGUUAACACCAAAUUCACAUUUUCCUAUGUAACUAAGAUUGGGAAUUUAUAAGUGUUUAGUUACUUAGUAUUUAUCAUUAUACUUUUAAUGAAAGGGAGAUUUAUAGUCCUGUCAAACCCGUUCGGCUAACGACCUUCCACCAGUCAAGUAAGCGGUGGGUGAGAGUGGACGCCCAUUAAACUGUCAUUUUAUAGGUAGUAACCUUAUACCCCCUUAUAGACUGGCUUCGUGAAUGAGGCCUACUAAUGGUAAGACUGACUUUUUUCUUAUACAUAUAUAUAACUAUUAACUAUUAAUAUUAUAAUGGUUGAAUUUUAACUUUUAAAACUCUAGAAUUUUGAAUUAAAGUAUUCAAAAGUGUAACUUUACAAAUUCCAAAACUUGAGGGCAAGUUUUGAAUAAUUCAAAAAACUUUUGGAAUCCAUAACAUAUGAGUUUAAUGUAGGUUUAAAUGAGAAGACUCUUGAAAAUCCAUAACUUUAGGACAAGUUAUAGAGGUCAUAAAACAAUUUAUGGGAAAAGACUCUUCAAGUUCAUAACCUAAGACUCUUUAAUAAUUCUUUUAAAGAAAAACUUUUGGUUUUCCAUAACUUGAGGACAAGUUAUGGAAUCCACUAAAAGCAUUAAGAUCAUCAAAUAAACUAACAAACAUGCCUAGCAACAUUCAUGAUCAAGAUUAAACUCAUAUGAACAAGACAAUUCAAAUCAAACAAUUUUUCAUGUAAUUAGCCUAAGUAUUAAACUAAUACAAAACAUGAAACUUUUGAUAAUUAUCUCUUGAAUUGGAUUAGAAUGAUCAUUACCACAUAAAAAACAGGUUUAUAAGUUCAAAAACAGCUAGGGUAAUGAUUUUAGACCAAUUCCAGCCUUAAAACUCGAAAAUAUGUUGUCUGGGGUCCUACUCAUCGAGUGCAUCAACCAACUCGACGAGUUGGAUGAUUUUAGGCACUUUUUAGGCAUGGACUCAUCGAGUCACUCCCUGGACUCGUCUAGUCAGCUGUCCAGACAACAAAAAACUUCGAUUUCCAGCCUUAAAAAGCAAGUAGCAUUAAGUAUAAUUGAAAAUAACCCUAGGCUAUGAUACCACUGUUGGGUUUUGAGCAUUCUAACACUCCUAUGGUGUACAUGCAACCCUAUGUGCUUUGUAUCUAUGUUUUCUCUAUUAUACAUGCAUACAUAUAAAAUUCCAAAGCAUCAUCCUAACUAGCAUGUUAUGAAGCAACUAUACUACAAAGUUCUAGUUAGAUGACAUAACUUUUAAUGGAGAUUGAAGUCUUGAACAUUUAAGAGCUUAGUGCCCCAAGUGUUGCACCUCAAAUGGUUCACACAACAUCGGCUAGCCCUCAUGUAUGUGUCACAAGUGCCAAUUUCUUGAACUAUGGGGUCCUUUAUAUAGUGUGGCUUAUUAGGGUUACACGAUGUACAUGACCUUCCAUAUUCUUCAUGCUCCAUGGGUUAAAACCUCCAUGGAGUAUCCAUGGAUAACUCCAUGAGUUUAGCCCAACAUGAAGACCUAUGGAUCAUAAGCCCACAUAUAUAAGAAUGAAUGAUUUACAUAAUCAAUCCCCAUAUAUUUAAUUAGUCUCUUUUGAUCACAAAAUUAAUUCCAAAUUAAUUCUUGAUCAAUACUAAUUAAAUAAUAUGAUUUCAUAUUAAUAUAUUAGAACUUAUAAUACAUUAACAAAUCAUAAGUAUCCUUUCUCUCAUUUGUCUAUCCAAUUGUUCUGAUGUCAUGCAACCCAAAUGGACCAUGCUACUCUCGGGUCGAAUACAUACCAAUAAUAGUUAUGGACUUAGACAUCUAAUCCAAAAGAUCCGGCUAAGAUAGAGGUCGUGAUGCAAGGAGAGGUCCCAAGGUCUCCAUCCAAGAUUCAGAGCUUCCUAGGUUUGGCAGGGUAUUAUAGGAGAUUUAUCCAGGACUUCUCCAAGAUAGCAGUUCCAUUUACCCGACUAACCAAGAAGUCGGUGGUGUUUCGUUGGGGUCCUGAGCAGCAGACCGCCUUCGACACGCUCAUACAGCGAUUGUGCGAGGUGCCAAUUCUCACCUUGCCAGAGGGAGUAGAUAACUUCGUAGUCUACUGUAACUCUUUAAUCACAGGUAUAGGAGCAGUGUUUAUGCAGCGGGGGCAUGUGAUACCUUAUGCCUCGCGACAGUUGAAGCCUUACGAGGCUAACUAUUCGACACAUGAUUUAGAGCUGGGGGCGGUGGUGUUCGCCCUCAAGAUUUUGCGGCAUUACCUCUAUGGGUUCCAUUGUAUCUAUUUACACGGACCACAAGAGUUUGAGGUACCUCAUGGAUCAGCCAAAUCUGAACAUGCGGCAACGUCGGUGGUUAGAUUGUUGGGUUUUAAGCAUUCUAACACUCCUAAGGUGUGCAUGCAACCCUUAUAACCUUGGAUCUAUGUUUUCUCUAGAAUACAUGCAAAUAAUAAUUUCCAAGGUUUCUUCCUAACUAGCAUAGCAUAAGGAUUAUAAAACAUAAAAUUAAUAGUAGAAAGACAUACCUUUUAUAGUGAUUGAUUGCUUGGAGUUUGAGAGCCUAGCACCAAUAAUGUGAAUGCCUCAAGUGGAAUCACAAAUCACCACAAACUUGGAAAAACCUUGAGAGAAUGAUAUGCUUAUAGAGAAAUCGGCCACCCUUAGUUCUCACACAACUAGUGUCACAUUUCAUGCAUCAUAAGCUUCUUUAUAUAGUGUGCAUGAUUAGGGUGAAACCUUAAUAACCCAUGUCUUUUCCUUUCCAAGGAUCCAUAGGUUAAAAGCUCCAUGGAUCAUCCAUGGACUUCCAUAUAAGCUUAGCCCAUUAACAAAUGAGUAUUAGCCCACACCAUAUAAAUAUACUAGCCCAUGAUUUAAUUAGUCUUCCUUUUAAUCACUAAAUUAAUUCAUAAUUAAUUUAAGACUAAAACUAAUUAAAUAACAUGGCUUCAUAUUAAUAUAUUAUAACUUAUAAUAUAUUAAUAAAUCAUAAACAUACUAUUCUCAUAAGAUUAUCCACAUAAAUUGUUCGGGUGAAGUGCAACCCAAAUGGACCAUGCCGGGUCGGGUCAAGUAUAUACCAAAUAAGUUAUGGACUUAGACACCUUAUCCAACAGCUCCCACUUGGAUAAGUCUAAUAACUGUAUUUGCCUAUAUUACUUUAGGAACCAACCGACAACCGUAGCUCUCGAAAACUCUGUUGAACUAUGAAGCGCCAUUUUAGAUAAGUGAUCAUGUAAUCCUCAGUUCUCAUGAUAUCAUCCGGACAAAUACAUGGAACAAUGUCGUACUUAUUGUCCAGCAGUUUCUUUCAUGAUUUCCGAUUUGUUUGACAAAGAACUUAACUGAACACAUCAGUUUAGUUCUGACCGGGCCCGGUACAUGGGUCAACACAAAAUCAUCGAGGGGCCCAAAUAUCGCUUCUAUUUCUAGAAGGAACAGAUAAACUUCGACUCAUAUGCUUGUUCUACUACUUGUUGAAUUGUACACAAAGGCACGUUUUAUAACAUCAAGUUACUGAUGCGUUUUCGUGCAAUCAAUGCACAACCAACUCAUAGGUAACAACUCAUAUCUCUAGGUUUGAAGACUUAUAUGAUAUUACCGUCUCACGAUCACUCGAGAUAAAUUCCAUGAAGUGAUACAAGUGAGCGUGGGUUUAUUCCAAUACUCAUAACUUAUGAGCACUCAUGAAUGUUAUAGCAACCAUUGCUAUGUCUAAACACAUUUAGCCAUCUACAACCUCGAUUCAUGACAGUCUUAAUUCAUACCUACUUCCAACAUAUGAACGACUGUGGAGUGUUUAAAUAAAUUAGUCAUUCGGAAAGAAUAGCCUAGCUAUUGUGGAAGUCAAAACAUUCAAAGUGAAACACAAUAAUAAUCGAAUCUAAUAUGGUCUCAGAACCCUUUUGAAUAUAAAUAGAACCACCUUUUAUUUAUCACCAUAUUGAUUACACAUUAUUCAUUGUAUAAUGUUUCAAAUAAUCAACUUAAUACUUGAAUAAAACAAUAGUUGUUCCAUGCUCACUUUUUUUUCUAAACAAUAGUUAUGCCAUACUUCAAGUAUGCACACUAUGUUUGUCUAUGAUCCUUACUUUGUGAAAUAGAUCAAUUGAACAUGAUUCCAAUGAUGCUCAUUUCACAAUCUCAAAUCCUUAUUGUAAAUGUAAGAAUUCCUAAUUCCUACCAUUUACUAAUAUCUGUUAGACUUUAAACUUAUAUGCACUGAUCCUCUCAUAAUGAUUAUGCACAAAGUCACCAAAACCUUUGUCACUAGUCAUUACAGAGUAUUCCAAAGAAGAUCAACUCUAUGGAAACGAAGUCUCAUAUUCAAAGUACACUUCUUUGAACAUCCUUCUUGCAUUAAGUUUUCUAAUCUCACGGAGAUUGAACGAAUAACUUCCACCUAUGGAAACAUUUCCAGAUUCCAUUUUGACUAUCACUCCUGAACAAGAGUUGCCUCUUUUCAGAAAAUGUCAAUAUGGUCCUGCCAAAAUUAACACUAUACUUCCAACUGUCCCUGAGUAACCAAUCUUUGGUAAACCUUAGAUUGUCCUCGGCAACUGUUUAAUCGUUUUAGGCAUAUCCAAUUCUAGACUUUUCCCCUCUUAAUGCCCAGAGCAUUUGGAAAAUUUAGAAAGGAUGAAUAUUAUAGCACAUGCAAUCGAUCUUAUAUCUGAAGCAUAUAAGACACAAUUCACGAGGUUUGACAUAAAGACAUGAUACUAGACCAGUCUUUUGCUACAAUAUUUUUAUUUGUUGCGUUCUCAGAAUUUGACUAUGAAGAGAGAUUUCGUAAUCAUAAUCGAAUUUUGAGAAUGCAAUAUAUAUANUAUAUAUAUAUAUAUAUAUCCUUGACAAGAGAUGAUUAAAAUCUCAAUCUAAGCAUCUAGAAUUGAAAUGAAGUAUGAUUUUCUCUCCCUUAAUUAUAGAAAAACAACUUUUUCAACCCCUGCAACUUCACGAAUUGAAAAUUUUGUUUUUCUAUAAUUAACAUUCCUUACUUGCAAUACUAUAAUAAUCUUGUUCCCACUAACAUGAUGAUUAUCAGCAUAACACUUAUGCUCUCACUAGCUUUGACAUAUUUCCAGAAAUCAGCUGGACUUCUAAAAUUUAGACUCAUACACCUUUCCUCAGAUAACUUACAUGUGUGUCUAAACAACUUCCAGAACUAUGAAAAGGAAUGCCAUAAUCAUAGUCUUAAUUGUUUAGACCUUUUCCAUUUCUUACAAGUCCAUGUUAGUGUGCCGGUUAACCACACAUGCUCCACUAACAACUUUUGAAAAUGAAAAUAUCACAAUUGCUAUCUACUUAAAAUCUACUUUGUGAAAGCGUUUCUUCACCAUCAUUUUCAUGAACCGGAGAGAAACCUUAUGACACUUAGAUUUUAUAGUGUAUGAGUUCCUAUCCAUGUGGAUUUGUCAAAACCAUAAUCAAAAGACAAGGUUAGUGACAAAAUCAGCCUCACAUGGAUUGAACCUUUUAAAUCUAAAUUUCUUUGGCACUUGGUAGCACAAGGCCCACCAAUGCUUCCAAGCUGUUAUGCACACAGUUUAGUACUAACAGAAGGCACAUAUGCAUAGUUAAUUUAAUUGGCACAAGAAUUAUGUCAACAUGAUAGGUUACAAACCUCAAGUCAUGUGCUAGUGAUAAAACACAGGUUUCACUCUUGAUUAGAUCUUGAAACUCUUUCAGGAUCAUUAAGAUUCCCACUGUCCUCUUGACAUAUAAGUUUCCCUAGUCAAGAACCAUUUCUUGACAAAACAGAUAUUCAUGGAAUAGUGCAGAUACUUAUCAAGAUUAACACUUCACACAAUUAGUCUUAGUUGGUCUUUGUCUAAUCCAAGACAUCACAACUUACCAAUUUUAAAUGUACAAGAGCAGAAAACAUUUUACUCUUACAUUUGACAAGUGUUAAAACCUUCUUUAAGAUAUGUGUCACUCAAAUUACAAUCUUGGAGUACGACUCUAAGACUUUGUUUUGGAACGAAGUAUGAUUCAUCUUCUUGAUUUUAACCAUUCCAACAAUUCAUGACUCCUUUUCUUAGCCAUAACAAUGCACUAAGAUGUCCUUAGAGAAUUAAUUGUGAUAUGGUAUCUUAAUCAUUAAGAUGAUCAUAAAACACAAUACUAAAGUACUCUCCCAUCUUUUCAGAUAUGAGAAACGUUUAUCUUUCUGUCUAAUUUGACUCUUUCCCAUUCGUUCUGACGCACAUUGAAAACUUUCCAAUGCUUCAGAAUUAUACUUAAACUUGUAAGUAUAACCAUGUUUACUAAGCUUUAGCAAAUCAUGACGAAUAGUCUUGUCAAUCUUUGUGGUGGACUUGACCAGUGCACAAGCAUGUGUACUCGAUCCCUUUAGUCCUAUCCUUGUUCACAUAAGGAACUAGUCUUAAUUUCCAAAGAUGAAAAUUCUCAUCCAUCAUACUAUACAACUUGCAUGAUUCCAAGUUUCGGUCCAAUUGAAACUUGGGUGAUGAGAGUAUUUCCUUAUUUGUAAAAUUUAGACACUACCACAAAUGAGAGAAUCAAAUCCACUUUCCAAUAUUGCUAUUACUGGAAUCAUAUAAGCAACAAUUUUUCACAAAUGCCAUUGUAAGUAUUUUUUAAAAUAAAUAAAAUUAAAACUUUUUUUUCUUUCAUUUUAAAACUUUGCAGAAAAACUUAUCCUUACAAUCCAUAUGAAAAGCUUGUUGUUAUCUAUUCCUAAGCAAUAUAUCAUAACUCUUUAAGCAACAACUCAAAAAUCUGAUUACCGAACCAUGCGAUCGAAAUCCAUCUUGGCAAUCAGAAUCAGCAUAUACUUCCUUUAAACUUCCUAUCUUUUCUUUGAUUCUUAAAAACAUCAAUAUGUGACCCAUUCACAUUAUGUAAUAAGAAUCUCCAAACAGAAACUUAAUAGAGUUAGACAGUGGACUUUACCCUUUGGUAAUGGCACAUGAAACCAUCUCAGACUUAGCCUUUCUCUUUACCAUCUAGUCAACCGAGUUGACUAUGGCUGAUCCCUUUCCAUUGGGAAGAGAAAUCCUUUUCUAGAUAUCCAAUGCUACCAUUGUCAAUGUCCAUUUAAGGUUUGGGAAGUUGAUCUUCUAAUCAAAUUUGCUUUACUAGUGUUUCAAAUCAUUGCUGAUUCCGCAACACCAAGCAAAUAGAUAAUAUUAUUAAGGGUCAUGUCAUAGUUUGUCUUAUAGUAGUUCCAAAGGGACUCACUACGUUACUAAGAAAGUGAUUGAACAUCCAACUUUCACAAGACUUUGACACCCAACUCUCCUGGCUUGUUAAUACGUGACUUCAUCUACAAGAUGUGAUCACACAUAGACCUUUCUUGCCAAUAGGGCUUGAGUGACCUUAAACUUUUCAAGAACUUGUGGGUUAGGGAAAAUAAUUAGAGGAGGUGGAGGAAGUGAAGCAUGAUGUUGAGGGACACCAUCUUCAAGAGAUUUGGGAAGAUCAUAGUUGUCUGAACCAGACAUCUAUAAUGGGAGAAAAUCAAGUUAGUUGAUUUUGUAAGUCCUUAAUAUAACACCCAAUUUGAAAUAUUAAGGCUAUGACCCAAUCACAAUAUAUUAUACUUAGAAGAGGUAUGUCGUAAUCUAAGUAAUAANUAAAAUAUUUGAAGGUAGGUGAAUGAUGAUUCACCAAUUUCCACCAUGAAAAACGAAAUAAUUUAUUAGGUUUUAAUUGGAUUUGAAAUUCCUAGAUCUUUUGAGAUUCAUUGAACUUUUCAAUGGCAUGUUUCAAUCUCGAGUGUGCCCUCUCAAAUUUUGUGACUGGGAUGCCGAGGAUCACAAAACAAGGUGUUAAUAACCAUACCAAUUCACAUGGUACCCUUAAUAUUAUCACCUAAUCAAUGUGCCGGUAAACCACACUCGCUCCACCGAUCUAUGAUAAACAUUAAGUCACCCUUCGUGAUCCUUACU
rnacentral:lncRNA from 1 species